rnacentral:rRNA from 1 species
UCGAACGAGAAAGUGGAGCAAUCCAUGAGUAAAGUGGCGACCGGGUGAGUAACACGUGACUAACCUACCUUCGAGUGGGGGAUAACCUAGGGAAACCUGGGCUAAUACCGCAUAACAUCUUUGGAUCGGAAGAACUGAAGUUCAAAGGAGCAAUUCGCUUGAAGAGGGGGUCGCGGCUGAUUAGCUAGUUGGCGGGGUAAUGGCCCACCAAGGCUUUGAUCGGUAGCCGGCCUGAGAGGGCGCACGGCCACACUGGAACUGAAACACGGUCCAGACUCCUACGGGAGGCAGCAGUGGGGAAUUUUGCGCAAUGGGGGAAACCCUGACGCAGCAACGCCGCGUGGAGGAUGAAGUCCCUUGGGACGUAAACUCCUUUCGACCGGGACGAUUAUGACGGUACCGGUGGAAGAAGCCCCGGCUAACUUCGUGCCAGCAGCCGCGGUAAUACGAGGGGGGCAAGCGUUGUUCGGAAUUAUUGGGCGUAAAGGGCGCGUAGGCGGUGCGGUAAGUCACCUGUGAAAUCUCCGGGCUUAACUCGGAGUCUGCAGGCGAAACUGCCGUGCUGGAGUAUGGGAGAGGUGCGUGGAAUUCCCGGUGUAGCGGUGAAAUGCGUAGAUAUCGAGAGGAACACCUGUGGCGAAAGCGGCGCACUGGACCAUAACUGACGCUGAAGCGCGAAAGCUAGGGGAGCAAACAGGAUUAGAUACCCUGGUAGUCCUAGCCCUAAACG